rnacentral:sRNA from 1 species
AAAAAAAAAGACAAAAAAAA